rfam:Gossypium arboreum cultivar AKA8401 contig_56890_3, whole genome shotgun sequence.
AACCCAUGGUGAAGGCACAUUCUCAAAAGGUCCUUGUAUCUCUCCCACGCAUCGUAGAGUGUUUCUAAAUUCAUCUGCGUAAAAGAAGAGAUAUCAUUACGUAAUUU